UACGGAGGGUCCGAGCGUUAUCCGGAAUCAUUGGGUUUAAAGGGUCCGUAGGUGGCCCUGUAAGUCAGUGGUGAAAUCUCCCGGCUCAACCGGGAAAUUGCCAUUGAUACUGCAGGGCUUGAAUUAUUGGGAAGUAACUAGAAUAUGUAGUGUAGCGGUGAAAUGCUUAGAUAUUACAUGGAAUACCGAUUGCGAAGGCAGGUUACUACCGGUGGAUUGACGCUGAUGGACGAAAGCGUGGGUAGCGAACAGG
rnacentral:rRNA from 1 species